ensembl:snRNA U6 U6 spliceosomal RNA
UUGCUCGCUUCGGCAGCACAUAUACUACAUUGGAACGACACAGAGAAGAUUAGCAUGGCCCCUGCGCAAGGACGGCACGCAAAUUUGUGAAGCGUUUCCAUAUUAA